rnacentral:snRNA from 1 species
UCAGAUGGUGAUGCAUGAUAUUAUCCGUGGCACAUAUUUCCGGAGAAAUCAUCGCCGGAU